AGUGUAAGCUUACAUGUGCCGGGGGGUGUCGGCCGCGACACGGAGAGGCCAAUGGGAUCUGUGCGGCCAUUUUUAGAGGGCUCGUUGAAGCAACCGUGGCUCAAAGCUUUGGCAGCAUUCAGUCUGAAGCAGCCAGCCGGCAAGGAGGAGGCCGAUUUCCGUCCGACACUUUUCGAUCGACACUUCUUCUUCGAAAUCGCGCGAUCCUCGAUCCACCUCUCUCUCUCUCUCUCUCUCUCUCUCUCUCUCUCUUUCUCAUCCAUCGCGAGGCCUGGAUCCACCCGCCUCUGGACCUCCUCUCUCUUUCCUUGUCCACCUUAACCGCCGCGAGAGGAUCGAGCGAGGAGAACAGGAGGAGGAGGAGGAGAAGGAGGAGGAGGAGGAGGAGGAGGAGGAUCCACCCAGGUACACCACACACCCUUUGCCCAGAACGGAUCCUUCGACGGAGAGUGGAUUACGUAACACGUUUUUUCACGAGAUGGAUACAUCCACGGUGGUACACACAAAUCCAAGGAGGAACAACAAUAUUUUUUGAGGACGGGUGGAGAAAGAGGGAGAUCGGGAGAAGAAGAAACCGGGCGAUGCUGUUCCGUGCUUCCUUACUUCCCAUAGUGGAUGCGACGUAUGGAAUGUAAAGAAGUAUGGAGCUGCGCCCGGACGUCGCGUCGUCCUUGCAAUCGGAUGGAGAGAGAGAGAGAGAGAGAGAGAGAGAGAGAGAGAGAGAGAAGAAAGAGAAAGAAACGGCACGGAGAACAGCUGAAGGAAACUUGAGACGAGAGUGACCUUCUUUUUUUCCUGUUUACUUCUUGUUCCCUAAUAAUAUGGUGGAUAACUGUGUAUAUUCUCGCGAGAAAAGGAAAGGAAGACGAGAAAGGAAGGAAGGAAGAGAGAGAGAGAGGGAGAGAGAGAGAGAGUUUUGUGCAAAGAGAGAGUUCUUCGAACGUGGUUCUAAGUACACGGCAAUGUACAACCGGUGCUAUACAGUUCGGUAUCGAUAGGCUGGAUGCCAGAAAUAGAGCCGGUUCCACGUAUUUUGUAACGUGACUCGGAACAUCUUUCCAUGUGGCCUCUCCCGCCUUCUCUAUUUACGAUGACGCGGGAGAUGCAACCGAUGCCUGGCUAAAAAAGCACGCAUUGUAAAACCGCACUCUCUCUCUCUCUCUCUCUCUCUCUCCUUCUCUUCUUCCUCGAAGGAUUAUUCGCAUUCGAGCGGAGACGUGCAGUAGAGUUGCAGGCUGGCGGCGUGGAAGGGAAGGGAAGGGAAGAGGAGGAAAAGGAGGAAGAGGAGGAGGAGGAGGAGGAAGGAGCUGGAGAGGAAGGAGAUCCUCGUCCGGCGUUCGAGUCAAAAAUAGGACGUGUACCACGCAUGGUCACAGGCAUAUUUCCAUAAAUGAGUUCUCCGGUUACAGGGGUCUAUUUCCGGCCCGGGCCGGCGACCCGGAGUUGCACAGCCAAUUACAAUCGGCUCCAGGACGGAUCCCUCGUUCUGGGAAUCGGAGAGGAUUACAUUGCAGCGAGGAUUCGAUCGAAGGAAGAUUUCUCGAAACGCGCGUGUUUUUCA